rnacentral:tRNA from 1 species
AUCGCUAUAGCUCAGCUUGGUAGAGCGCUGAAAUAGUCAUUCAGUUGUCGCCGGUUCGACUCCGGCUAGUGAAA